CCUACGGGAGGCUGCAGUGGGGGAUAUUGCACAAUGGGGGAAACCCUGAUGCAGCGAAGCAGCGUGAGUGAAGAAGUCUUUAGGGGUGUAAAGCUCUAUCAGCAAGGGAGAAAAUGAAAGUACGUGAGCCAGAAGCCCCGGCUAACUACGUGCCAGCAGCCGCGGUAAUACGUAGGGGGCAGGGGUUAUCCGGAUUUACUGGGUGUAAAGGGAGCGUAGAGGGUUUGUUAAGUCUGGAGUGAAAGCCCGGGGCCCAACCGCGGGACUGCAAUUGAAACUGUCUGACUUGAGUACAGGCGGGGCAGGCGGAAUUCCUGGUGUAGCGGUGAAAUGCUUAGAUAUCAGGAGGAACACCGGCUGCGAAGGCGGCCUGCUAAACUGAAACUGACGUUGAGGCUCGAAAGUGUGGGUAGCAAACAGGAUUAGAUACCCCUGUAGUC
rnacentral:rRNA from 1 species